CCUCCGUGAAUUCCCAGUCGUGGUCUGCACAAUCUUCUGAUUUUCCUGGGUGUUCGUGUGUGUUUGGCGCCUCCUUCCUUCCCCCUCUCCUCACAGGCCGCCGGCGAUAAUAGGUGGCGCGCGUCGUGAAACCCGGUGUACAAGUUUCAAGCUGCACUCUUUCUUAUCAACAAGCGCUUGACUCAUCUCGGUUAGCGUACGCCUUGCGGCAUAGUUGCCGAAGCGGCUUCUGUGCAUCGCAGGUGCCUCCCUCGUCUUACUUCUAAAGCACACACCACCGACACUGACAGGCUCUUCUCUUAUUCUUUUUGUUGAUUUCGAAGAGCGCUGCAGCGUCUGUCCUCCCCUCCCCCCUCUGCGCCGUACGCAGCAGCAGUAGCAGUGGCCACCAUGUGGACCUUGUCCCGACACUGCUUGGCGGCGGCGGUGCGCACAGCGGUGCUCUGCCAGAAGAAACAGACAGCCGCGGGGUACAUGGCGAGUGCCGGAAAGGUGGGCAACGAGGAAAAAUGGGCGCAAGCCGCCAUGGAGUACAUUCACGAGAAGAACCACGUGAAUGAUGCGCGGAAGCGACAGCAGGACGUCGACCAGGAGCGCAGCAUCGCUAACGCUUACGACCGUUACUCCGCUGUAUCGGAGGCGAAAUUUGACGAGCGCCUUUCGCGCCUCAUCGCGCGCAUGUCCGAAGCGCUCGAGGAGAUGCGAAAAUUGGGCCUGGAGGAGGCGCUGGAGGAGGCGGUGCUGCUCAAUUCGGAGCAGCCGCCAGGCCACUACCGCCGCCCGUCCCUCACCCCUCCUUUGGUGGGGUACGAGCCAGGUUUCGGUCUUGACGUGCCUCAGCUGCGCAGUCAGCAGGCCGAGUACCCGCCACUGCGCCGCCCGACGGAUUGGCUGGAGUUUGGCGAGGGUGGUGCAGAUGACUUCCCGUAUGUUGACACCCACAAAAUCGAGGAUUUGACGGCAAAGCACGAGGCACAGCUGGAGGAGCAGCACGGCGUCUUGCGGGAGGCUGCGCCACUCACGGGUGUGGAGGGAGAGGGAUGGGAAGCUUACGUCGCGCUGCACCGUAAGGCACUUGCCCGUCAGCACCUCAUCAUGGACCUGCAUAACGACCCUGAGCUGCGCGACAAGUACAAUGCUGACGAGGCCUUCCGUGCUGCGGAGUGGGAACGGCGGGGCAUGGGCGCCUUGAGCAUUGAAGCGCCACUGGAGCGCGAUGUGGAGCUGCACUACGCCCAGGUGCCUGCCUACGAGGCGUUCCGCUCACAUUGAUCAGCAGCAACAACCACAACGCAAGCACGCCGUGGUGCAAACGGAUCGGUUCGUUGCUCGGUGUCGUUCUUGCCCUUGCUAUCGCCAUUGGUAAGGAGAAGCGGCCGCUCGUCAAGCACCUUGCGCAGCCGUGUCCUUUGCUUCUCUGGCUCCAUGCCCCUGUGGCGCACGCGCGUGUUGCUCACCCUUGCGUUUUUGGUCUGGAGAUGGACGUGUGUGGAAAGGGGAGGAGAAACCUUGGCCUUCUCCCAGCUUUGAUCUUUACAUAUUCUUUGUGUGCGUAUGUGCAUGCAUGUGUGUUUGUGUGGGUGGGUGGGCGUGUGCCGGCGUUUUCCACAACGAAAUGUUCACAUGUCUGGUCAACAAGUCACUGGAAGAUGCGAAGCGUGCAGCUGCCGCGCUUUGUUUUACCUUCUCGCCACCUCCGCG
rnacentral:misc_RNA from 1 species